rnacentral:rRNA from 1 species
CUACGAAGGGGGCUAGCGUUGUUCGGAAUUACUGGGCGUAAAGCGCGCGUAGGCGGAUUGGUCAGUUAGGGGUGAAAUCCCAGGGCUUAACCCUGGAACUGCCUCUAAUACUGCCAGUCUUGAGUUCGGGAGAGGUGAGUGGAAUUCCUAGUGUAGAGGUGAAAUUCGUAGAUAUUAGGAAGAACACCAGUGGCGAAGGCGGCUCACUGGCCCGAUACUGACGCUGAGGCGCGAAAGCGUGGGGAGCGAACAGGAUUAGAAACCCCUGUAGUCC